rnacentral:rRNA from 1 species
GGGGAGGAAUCAGGACUGUUACUUUGAAAAAUUAGAGUGUUUAAAGCAGGCUAACGUCUGAAUACAUUAGCAUGGAAUAACAAUAUAGGACGGCUGGUCCUAUUUUGUUGGUUUCUAGGAUCACCGUAAUGAUUAAUAGGGAUAGUUGGGGGCAUUAGUAUUCAAUUGUCAGAGGUGAAAUUCUUGGAUUUAUUGAAGACUAACUACUGCGAAAGCAUUUGCCAAGGAUGUUUUCAUUAAUCAAGAACGAAAGUUAGGGGAUCGAAGACGAUCAGAUACCGUCGUAGUCUUAACCAUAAACUAUGCCGACUAGGGAUCGGACGAAGUUAAUUUUUAAAUGACUCGUUCGGCACCUUACG